rnacentral:rRNA from 1 species
GACGAACGCUGGCGGCGUGCUUAACACAUGCAAGUCGAACGGGAAGGCCCCAGCUUGCUGGGGUACACGAGUGGCGAACGGGUGAGUAACACGUGGGUGACCUGCCCCGCACUUCGGGAUAAGCCUGGGAAACUGGGUCUAAUACCGGAUAGGAUCAAGGUGUGGAUAAUGUGGCGGAAAGGUUUUUCGGUGUGGGAUGGGCCCGCGGCCUAUCAGCUUGCUGGUGGGGUAAUGGCCUAGCCAGGCGGCGACGCGUAGCCGGCCUGGGAGGGGGGACGGCCCCACUGGGACUGGGCCGCGGCCCGGACUCCACCGGGACGCAACGGUGGAGAGUAUUACACUAGAGGCGGGAGCCUGGUGCGAUGACGCCGCGUGGGGGAUGACGGGCUUCGGGUUGUAAACUCCUUUCCCCUUCCACGAAGGGUUACUGACGGUAGCUGGAGAAGAAGCACCGGCUAACUACGUG